rnacentral:rRNA from 1 species
UACGUAGGGUGCGAGCGUUGUCCGGAAUUAUUGGGCGUAAAGGGCUCGUAGGCGGUUUGUCACGUCGGGAGUGAAAACUCGGGGCUUAACCCCGAGCCUGCUUCCGAUACGGGCAGACUAGAGGUAUGCAGGGGAGAACGGAAUUCCUGGUGUAGCGGUGAAAUGCGCAGAUAUCAGGAGGAACACCGGUGGCGAAGGCGGCGAUCUGGGUCGAUACUGACGCUGAGGUGCGAAAGCGUGGGGAGCAAACAGG